rnacentral:rRNA from 1 species
GAUGAACGCUGACAGAAUGCUUAACACAUGCAAGUCAACUGUGGCGGACGGGUGAGUAACGCGUAAAGAACUUGCCUCACGGAUAGGGACAACAUUUGGAAACGAAUGCUAAUACCUGAUACUGUGAGAGAGCUUUGCGUCCCAUGAGCUAGUUGGAGAGGUAACGGCUCACCAAGGCGCUGAUGGGUAGCCGGCCUGAGAGGGUGAUCGGCCACAAGGGGACUGAGACACUGCCCUUACUCCUACUGGAGGCAGCAGUGGGGAAUAUUGGACAAUGGGCCAAAGUCUGAUCCAGCAAUUCUGUGUGCACGAUGAAGUUUUCGGAAUGUAAAGUGCUUGCAGUUGGGAAGCGGUACCAACAGAGAAAGUGACGGCUAAAUACGUGCCAGCCGCCGCGGUAAUAC